ensembl:vault_RNA Vault Vault RNA
GGGCCAGCUUAGCCUAGCGGUUACUUCGGAGCAAUCUUUGCAGAUUCACCAAUUGCUUAACGGCAGUUCGAUACCCCGCGGGUGCUGUCUGGCUUUUUU